rnacentral:rRNA from 1 species
GACGAACGCUGGCGGCGUGCUUAACACAUGCAAGUCGAACGAAGAGCGACGGAAGCUUGCUUCUAUCACUCUUAGUGGCGAACGGGUGAGUAACGCGUAAUCAACCUGCCCUUCAGAGGGGGACAACAGUUGGAAACGACUGCUAAUACCGCAUACGAUCUAAUCUCGGCAUCGAGGAUGGAUGAAAGGUGGCCUCUACAUGUAAGCUAUCACUGAAGGAGGGGAUUGCGUCUGAUUAGCUAGUUGGAGGGGUAACGGCGCACCAAGGCGAUGAUCAGUAGCCGGUCUGAGAGGAUGAACGGCCACAUUGGGACUGAGACACGGCCCAGACUACUACGGGAGGCAGCAGUGGGGAAUCUUCCGAAAUGGACGAAAGUCUGACGGAGCAACGCCGCGUGAGUGAUGACGGCCUUCGGGUUGUAAAGCUCUGUUAAUCGGGACGAAAGGCCUUCUUGCGAAUAGUGAGAAGGAUUGACGGUACCGGAAUAGAAAGCCACGGCUAACUACGUG